AAGUCGUAACAAGGUUUCCGUAGGUGAACCUGCGGAAGGAUCAUUAACACGUAUCCAAACGUAAAAAACCCCCCCCGUGAACAUUCAAUCCUGCUCUUGUAACCCGCGUAGUUCGCAAUCUCUGGUAAAUCAUAGCCCGGAAAGUAGUUUUGAUUCAGAGACCUCUGGCUACGUGAGAACAUUGGAACAGUUAUUCCUGUAGACCGUACACUCGGGCAGGAGCUAUGCCAAAGGGUCCCCAUGCCCCCUUAUAACCCCACAGUUUAAUGUGAAGCUCAAUGUAAUAUAUUGGGUAAAAAAACCGAACAACUGUUAACAAUGGAUAUCUUGGUUCUC
rnacentral:misc_RNA from 1 species